rnacentral:misc_RNA from 1 species
CAACCCUCGAGCCCCCGUGGCUUGGUGUUGGGGACCGGCGACCCCGCCCGCACCUCGGUGCAGGCGCCCGCCGCCCCCGAAAUGAAUUGGCGGCCUCGUCGCGGCCUCCUCUGCGUAGUACCACAGCCUCGCAACAGGAGCGCGACGCGGCCACUGCCGUAAAACGCCCCAGCUUUGUUUUCAG